GAUCAUCAGAGGCUUUUAAAAGCAUUUUUUUCUGCAACCUCUUCAGCCGAAGAGGCUAUAGAAUAAAUGCUUUUAAAAGUUAAAAAAAAAAAGUUGGCCACCCCCACCCAGUCACAUUACCCCCCCACCAAGCCACGCUUACAGAACCAGUAGUAACAAAUUUUACAUUUCACCUCUGCAUCAAAUGGACAAAUGUUAGAUUAGCCCUCCCUUUAAAUUGUAAUUGUAAGGAUGGGGGCCUUUUGAUGGUAAAUAAUCUCAUUCUUAAUCAGAGAUGUAAGUUUUCCAGGUCAAAGUUUUUCAGGUAAAUUUAGCAGCUUCACAAUUGUACGAUACUUGCCUCACAGGUGUUCAUUCUAAAAUAAAUCAAAAAGCAACAGCAGCAGGGAUUUCUGGUUCCAAUGACUGGAAUGGCUUAGAAGUAAUCAGCUAGAGAAGCUACAGAAAAAUCAAGAGACAAGUAACUCUUGUUCUUCUUUAGCAUCCAUGUGGACAAAGUAUGAACUUCCUGCAGGCCAAAGGCCGCUUCACAUGUGUCCUCUCUUGAUCUUGGCAACUCAGUUAUUACCCUGGGUAAUGGGUAUCCUUGAAAGGGACAUGUGCUGGUAAUCCCCACCUCAGGCCUGAAUCUCACACAACAAUAAAUGUAUGGCAUUGUUAUGAAGAAACUAUUUCAGGUAAGAAGAAGAUUGCCCAGAAGAAUAUUCUAAUAAUAUUACAAGGAUGAAGAAGGAUUUAAGAUAAUGCAGAAACUUUUGUAAAAGAACACACAUCAUUUUUGUUUCUGAAAAGCUAAUAAAAUAAUGGGACGAAGAAAAAUCAUCUGAAAGAAGCCUACAUCAAGAAUCCUAUGAACUUGGUAACGCAAGUAAUAAUUUCAGAAAUCUUGAACUUCAAAGAUUAAUCACCAGAUGUACUAUCCAUUUUAAGUUCAUGUCAAGAUGGUCAAUUGAUCUUUAUUGAAAAAAUGUUAAAAGAAGAUCAAGGAAAAAUAGACAAGACAAUGGCUAGAACUAUAUUUGCAGGCAGCGAGCCUCCUGAUGUGACUGGAAACCAUUUCUGGAAGGAACAUUAUGACCUAAUUUGCCCAUCAUAUGAAGUGUCAUCUCUAUUGUUCUACUUUACUGCUCAAUGUUUGUUUCUAACAUUCCAAUAAAUUUUUUUCUCUACGUA